rnacentral:tRNA from 1 species
GCCCUCGUAGCUCAAUUGGCAGAGCAAUUGACCUGUAAUCAAUGGGUUGUAGGUUCGAGUCCUAUCGAUGGCACCA